UGGGGAAUUUUCCGCAAUGGGCGAAAGCCUGACGGAGCAACGCCGCGUGAGGGAAGAAGGUUCUUGGAUUGUAAACCUCUUUUCUCAGGGAAGAAAAAAAUGACGGUACCUGAGGAAUAAGCAUCGGCUAACUCCGUGCCAGCAGCCGCGGUAAUACGGAGGAUGCAAGCGUUAUCCGGAAUCAUUGGGCGUAAAGCGUCCGCAGGUGGUGCCGUAAGUCCUUAGUUAAAGACAGAAGCUUAACUUCUGAAAGGCUGAGGAAACUGCGGGACUAGAGGCAGGUAGGGGUAGCGGGAAUUCCCAGUGUAGCGGUGAAAUGCGUAGAGAUUGGGAAGAACAUCGGUGGCGAAAGCGCGCUACUGGGCUGAGCCUGACACUGAGGGACGAAAGCUAGGGGAGC
rnacentral:rRNA from 1 species